rfam:Homo sapiens chromosome 16, GRCh38 reference primary assembly.
GCCAGGUGUGGUGAUGCACACCUGUAAUCCCAGCUGCUUGGGAGGCUAAGGCACGAGAAUUGCUUGAACCCAGGAGAUGGAGGUUGCAGUGAGCCGAGAUCAUGCCACUGCAAUCCAACCUGGGUGACAGAGUGAAACUCCAUCUCAAUUAAGAAAAAAAAAUGUUUUUGAGCCCGGGUAACACAGUGAGACUCCAUCUCUAUCAAAAAAUUUUUGUCGCCCAGGCUGGUGUGUAAUGGCGCGAUCUCAGCUCACUGCAACCUCUGCCUCCUGGGUUCAAGCGAUUCUCCUGCCUCA